GAGGCAGAAGUCUGGCUUCCGUAGGAGCUCGGACGAAGCCUACCUACAGUAGGAGUUUGGGGUAGAAGUCAGGCUCCCGUAGGAGCUCGGAUGAAAUCCAGAAGGCGGUCGACCGUCGUAGAAACUUGGAUGGAGUCCAUCCAUAGUGGAGAUCUGCUGUUGGGAAAGUUCGGCCACUAUCAAAGUUCUGGAAGAAAUUCAGAUUGGAGUCGAUCGAAUCCUGUGGAA
rnacentral:lncRNA from 1 species